GCAGGGGGGUGGGGGUUGACAGGGGUGGGUGAGGUUUGACAGGGGUGUUGGGUAAGGAAUGGUAGGUUUGUAAGGGUGCUGAGAAGGAUAGGGGUAGUUUGAAGGGGUUUUGGUAGGGUUUGACAGGGGUUAGCAGGGGGUUGGUAGGGUUUGACAGGGGUGGGUGAGGUUUGACAGGGGUGUUGGGUAAGGAAUGGUAGGUUUGUAAGGGUGCUGAGAAGGAUAGGGGUAGUUUAAAGGGGUUUUGGUAGGGUUUGACAGGGGUUAGCAGGGGUUUGACAGGGGUUGACAGGGGGUGAGGUAGGUUUGACAGGGUUGUAGGGUAAGGAAUCAUAGGUUUGUAAGGGUUGUAAGAAGGAUAGGGAUGGUUUGAAGGGGUUUUGAUAGGGUUUGACAGGGAUUGACAGGGAUGGUAAUAGUAAUAAUAGUAGUAGUAGUAGUAGUAGUAG